GUUGACCACCUAAUGGAUUUUGAUGAAUACAAAACACUAGAGUAAAAUUCCAUUAUAUCUUAACAAUUCGAUUGAGGAAUUCAUGUGUUUUACUUAGAAAAUUGUUAAGAAAUGUCUAGGCAAGUUCCCAUAAUUUUUAUGAAUUUAUUGAAGAAUAUUUUAAGCUAAAGAAAAAGUUCAAGGGACAGCCGAGACGUCUCCUGAUAGUUUCAGAGACGUCUCUGGCACAAACAGGAAGAACUGGCACACUUGGAGUCGUCCCCGGCACCUGCCGAGUCGUCCCCGCGUUAGCGGAGUCGACUCUCUCA
rnacentral:lncRNA from 1 species